UGGGGAAUAUUGUACAAUGGACGAAAGUCUGAUGCAGCAACGCCGCGUGGAGGAUGACACAUUUCGGUGCGUAAACUCCUUUUAUAUGGGAAGAUAAUGACGGUACCAUAUGAAUAAGCACCGGCUAACUCCGUGCCAGCAGCCGCGGUAAUACGGAGGGUGCAAGCGUUACUCGGAAUCACUGGGCGUAAAGAGCGUGUAGGCGGAUAUAUAAGUCAGAAGUGAAAUCCAAUAGCUUAACUAUUGAACUGCUUUUGAAACUGUAUAUCUAGAAUGUGGGAGAGGUAGAUGGAAUUUCUGGUGUAGGGGUAAAAUCCGUAGAGAUCAGAAGGAAUACCGAUUGCGAAGGCGAUCAUGGAACAUUAUUGACGCUGAGACGCGAAAGGCUGGGGAGCAAACG
rnacentral:rRNA from 1 species